GUUUAAUGGUGAAAACAGCAAUGAAAGCUACGUGAGUGUGAUUGAUAUGUUCAUGCUGGGAUUAACUAACUUGUAGCAUAGAGCUAUACAUCAGAUUCAGGGAUAGGCCUUCUAGAUGAAUGGGAUUGUUAAGUUGAGGGUGAACAUAUCAGACAACACAGCGAUUCUUCAAACAGCUCUUGUUUAUUCACAGGCCCAGAACAGAACUGGACUGAAGGGUUCAGCCAACCUGCUUAUGUAGAGCUCCACUACAAAGCAACAGUAACAACUUUCUGUAACUAUCCAAUCACUGAACGUCACUUUCAAUUCCUUAUUUGCAUAUGUGGACUUGAGUGAAAACUAUCUACAGGAUCCCCCUGCUGGCCCAGGAUUGGAAAGGGGGCGGACUUCCAGGAAAAAAAGACUUCAGCAAUCUCAUCCAAUGUGGGCGUGUUCCCCUGGAAGGUAACCUGCACAUAAAUUAUGGGCUUAGAAUUAUAGAAUCACAGAGUUUUGGAAAGGACCCCAAGGAUCAUCUAGUCCAACCCCCUGCAACAAAAGGGAUGACUGUACCCAACUACACACUACAUAAGUAAAUUCCACUGUGAUCACUAGGACAGCCUCCUAGUUAAGUGUAUAUGGGAAUGUAGCCCGAUAUUAUACUGUAAACUAUAAUAAACAAGAGCCGAGGGGAAAUUUCAUUGCACUUUAAGGUAGGGCAGUCCCAGCUACACCUGCUAAGAUUUCCUCUUCUGCACAUCCAUUAAAGGUGCACCAUCCUUGCCCUCUUUUGCCUCUAGCAACCCUAUCCUAAAGUAACCACAGUGCAUUUGGAAUAGCCGUGACUGGCCUCCUGUCAUUUCAGUCCUCAGU